rnacentral:rRNA from 1 species
ACUCGAGUGGCGAACGGGUGAGUAACACGUGGGUGAUCUGCCUUGCACUCUGGGAUAAGCUUGGGAAACUGGGUCUAAUACCGGAUAGGAACCGUCUUUAGUGUGGUGGUUGGAAAGUUUUUCGGUGCAAGAUGAGCUCGCGGCCUAUCAGCUUGUUGGUGGGGUAAUGGCCUACCAAGGCGUCGACGGGUAGCCGGCCUGAGAGGGUGUACGGCCACAUUGGGACUGAGAUACGGCCCAG